rnacentral:rRNA from 1 species
AUUGAACGCUGGCGGCAUGCCUUACACAUGCAAGUCGAACGGCAGCACGGGAGCAAUCCUGGUGGCGAGUGGCGAACGGGUGAGUAAUAUAUCGGAACGUGCCCAGUCGUGGGGGAUAACGUAGAGAAAUUUACGCUAAUACCGCAUGCGAUCUAAGGAUGAAAGCGGGGGAUCGCAAGACCUCGCGCGAUUGGAGCGGCCGAUACCAGAUUAGGUAGUUGGUGAGGUAAAGGCUCACCAAGCCGACGAUCUGUAGCUGGUCUGAGAGGACGACCAGCCACACUGGGACUGAGACACGGCCCAGACUCCUACGGGAGGCAGCAGUGGGGAAUAUUGGACAAUGGGCGCAAGCCUGAUCCAGCCAUGCCGCGUGCAGGAUGACGGUCCUAUGGAUUGUAAACUGCUUUUAUACAGGAAGAAACACUACUUCGUGAAGUAGCUUGACGGUACUGUAAGAAUAAGGAUCGGCUAACUCCGUG